AGUGAACGCUGGCGGUAGGCCUAACACAUGCAAGUCGAACGGCAGCACAGGAGAGCUUGCUCUCUGGGUGGCGAGUGGCGGACGGGUGAGGAAUACAUCGGAAUCUACUUUUUCGUGGGGGAUAACGUAGGGAAACUUACGCUAAUACCGCAUACGACCUUCGGGUGAAAGCAGGGGACCUUCGGGCCUUGCGCGAUUAAAUGAGCCGAUGUCGGAUUAGCUAGUUGGCGGGGUAAAGGCCCACCAAGGCGACGAUCCGUAGCUGGUCUGCUAGGAUGAUCAGCCACACUGGAACUGAGACACGGUCCAGACUCCUACGGGAGGCAGCAGUGGGGAAUAUUGGACAAUGGGCGCAAGCCUGAUCCAGCCAUACCGCGUGUGUGAAGAAGGCCUUCGGGUUGUAAAGCCCUUUUGUUGGGAAAGAAAAGCAGUCGGUUAAUACCCGAUUGUUCUGACGGUACCCAAAGAAUAAGCACCGGCUAACUUCGUGCCAGCAGCCGCCGUAAAAC
rnacentral:rRNA from 1 species